ensembl:lncRNA
CUAGUUGGAGAUCCUUCCCUUGUGAUGUUUUCCUUGUGAGCCUAACUCUUCUGAGACAGUCUAUUUUGCUUGCUUUUGAAAGGAAUGUUUCUACAGAGGGUCCUUUCCUUACCAGUUUUUAUGUCAUGACGUUAAGUACUCAACAACCCAGAAGAAAUAAUGUUUUUCACCCCUGCAGUGAAAAAAAGGAACGUCACUGCAGAAUGGAGAAGAAGGUUUAAUCCCAGCUCAGCUCUGGACCUCCGGUGUGCUUACACAAGGUUGAUUUGGAAGGUUAUGAGGGCAACAAUAGAUAUUUUUGUCCGAACAGGAAGCAGAGGAGACAGCCAAAAACAACCAGAAAAUGUAAUGAAAUACCCUACAGAAUUUACUUAGGUCUCAAGAUGCUUUUAUUUCUGAGAGCAGGGUCUGUUGUUUCCUUUCCUAAGAACUAUGGCAUGCAGUUACAGGAAAGGUUAGGCUGUCCAACGCAACCAUUUCACUGGGUAAAGGAAUAGGUUUCUUACCUUCUUUCUCCACUCACCAUUACAUCCUGGCUUUCCAUUAUCAUGGUCGUGAACUGAGCAUAAAUGUAGCAAGCAAGAUUGUUCAAACAAGUCUGGAAGAUCAGAGGCUGUUUAAUGAGCCCUGAUAGUUUUUUAUCUGACGAACUAUUUCAGAUGCAUUUAAGUCAGCAUCAACAAAUAUGCAGGCAAACCAGUAAGUACUGCACCUUGGGGAGUGUAAAAUCUUCUAUUUCCCAUGUAUAGGAGGAGAUAGUGAGAAUUCACUGUUUUUAAAAUAUUUGCCAUAAGUCAGUAACAUUCAAUGUUAAUUGCAAAUUUUUUAACCUCUUUAGAUGCUGACUGUUUCCCUGGAUAAGUAUGGUGAGAAUGUGCUGCAUUUUUCCAAAUCUCAGGUUUCCUGUCAAACAAUUCAGAUGGUAAAU